GACGAACGCUGGCGGCGUGCCUAAUACAUGCAAGUCGAACGCAGUGGGGACGGGUGAGUAGCACGUGGGUAACCUCCCAUCAGAGGGCAUAACACUUGGAAACAGGUGCUAAACCGAUGCUGAUGUAUGGACCCGCGGUGGAUGAGCUAGACGGUGGGGUAACGGCUCACCAAGGCCACGAUGCAUAGCCGGCCUGAGAGGGGGAUCAGCCACACUGGGACUGAGACACGGCCCAGACUCCUACGGGAGGCAGCAGUAGGGAAUCUUGGACAAUGGGCGAAAGUCUGACCGAGCAACGCCGCGGGAGUGAAGAAGGUUUUCGGGUCGUAAAGCUCUGUUGUUAGAGAGGCGGUAUCUAACCAGAAAGCCACGGCUAACUUCGUGCCAGCAGCCGCGGUAAUAC
rnacentral:rRNA from 1 species